UCUUCAAAGGAAAAUGUGGUUCUUUUAUCAGAAGAGGAGAAGAAAAGCUGCAUAAGCAAAGUCAUACAUUUUCACUUCAGGCCUUUUCAAGCUAAGAUAGCGAGGGAAAUUAUGUUCUGCUUUGGGGGAAUAAAAUCUUUGCAAAUACAAAAUUUAGUCUUAACAGAAUGCAACAUUUAAAAACACAUCUGUGGGAAAACCACACAGAACAUAGCAUGCCUUCUAAAGUGAAAAAGGAUAUUCCAUUAGCUUUCAGAGUUUUAAAAACAAAGGGCUUUCUGUUAAUAAAUUUUACUGCAUAUUGUUCAGUGCAUGUCCUAUGUCCUACUGGGUUUAGAAAUUAUGGUUAUUUUGAAGCAUUUGAUUAGGUGGGCAGGAAACAUCAGAAGCAAAACAACUGAAAGUACAUUAGCUAAAAACCUACAUCACAAAUCAUUUGGGAAUGUGAAGUCAUAAAGGAUGACGAAUCGGUGCCAGCAGGAUGGAAACAAAAGAAUUUUCUUAAAAAUUUUAAGGCAUUAUUCUAGUUUUAAUUGUUAAGUGAGCUGAAUAAUAACAGCUGAGAAGGAAAAGUCUUUUAAAACCAGCAUUACUGUGUGAUCCCGACACUGAUCAUGUCAGAAACUGGUUGUGCUCUGAUUGGUAUAGCUGUGUCUUCAAAGCUGCUUGACCAGCACAGAUGUGAGGUUGAGAGGUUUGCUGACAUGUGUCAGCAUGUGUAAAACUUUUUCUAGGGAGAGGGCAAGAGAAGGAAAAGAAAAGUUAAACUGGAACUCCAGUAGGUUGUGAGAUUCAUCUUGAUGAUAAAAUAACGAAGAGAGAAAGCCUUUCCUAACAGAUGGAGAGAAGAACAAGCUGAAGAAGCCCCCGUUUUCCAGGGCAUGUUAUUCCCAUGACAGCUGCUAAAAGUUCAAGGGGAGAGCUACAAAAAGUACGUUUUCCUGUGGAUACUUUCAUGUCUGGAUGCAAUGCCUAGACCUGCAUCCAUCUUGCGACCAACUUGAAGACGAAUCGAAAGGAAGGAAGGAUGGCCCAAGAGCCUGGGAAGAACUGGUGUUCCUGAUACCAUCAUUAACCACAGAAUCUACAAUCCCCGAACCCCCCAUCCUUAACCAUGGAAUCUACAAUCCUAUCUCUAGACCCUUUGUCCAGAUGCUACAGUUUCUUUGUUCAAUCUAGUUUGUGUCAGGAUUUCUGUUCAUUACAUCAAAAGUAUUCUAAUAUUUGUAGCAAAGCAACUGGAGAAGUUUUCACUUUGUCUUUAACCAAAGAAGACUUCCAGGAAACAUCUCCUCAGUGGGUUUCUCCCUCACCACUGGAUUUUUGUCUCUGUACUAAUGCUUUGAUUUGUUUUAGGAGUCUCACCUCUCCACCUGUCAUAUUCCCCUGGCAGGCUCAUUUCUGCUAAUGCCCACAAUAUGCAUAUCAAUGAGCUUUCAACCUUAGGUACACAGCUCUUCAGGCAUGUAUAGCACAUUAAUCUGUCUGCUCCUAAGUGGUCUGUUGACAUGUUUGGGUGCCAGUUAUACCUACAAGGCUGUGGUCCUUGUCCUGGGUUAUUCUGUUUGUUCUCUCUGCAAGAUGCAUUAGGACACCCAAGGCCAUGGCCAUCACUUACAUCUAGGAUUCGAUCUUAUCUCCUGUGAAUCACUGGAAACCUCCUGUCCUGGAACCCUUUUUUUCCACAUCCCACUCGAUGUCGUUCAUAGCAACUGGUCUUGCGGGUUGUCUGUUUUAUUGUGUUGUCUUACUCUUCCUCCUGGUAUCAGUUUUUAAAUCCUCUUGAUGAGAUCAGCUGAUCAAUCGCUAAGCAACAUAGUCUCCCAUGUCUUUGUAAGAUUCUCUGCACUCAUGGCUAGAAUGAUUUAUUCUGGUAUCUUAAGCUGUGUUUCAGAACCUCACUCUAAAUAUGAACCUAUUCUUGUAAGUCCACUACUGAUCAUCUUUAGAUAUUCUUCAGUCUUCCAGAGUUCCAAAGGGCAGUAGGAAGAGGCAAUGAAAAUAGCACCUGUAUUCUCACAUCUUUCAUUUUUCCACUCAAAAAAAUACCACCAUGUUCACUCCUGGUGGAACAUUUAUGUCCAUGAGAAGCAGUGGCUUUGAAGAGUUUUGGCAGACUCUUUAUUGCGCCUUACUCAACAUUGGGAAGGUAUCUUGCCAUCAGACCUUUUGGGUCUCCAUGAAACUUCUUAUACCCCCUCUAGGAAAAGUCACUACCUGUGAUCUUUCUGAGCUUCUAAACGCAGCAUUUUUUUACACUUCAGUGAGCGGGGGUCCUCCUUAUUUGUGCUUCUCUUCCUGUAAGGGUGACUUCCUCCUAGUAGGAUGAAUCUCAUGCCUAUUUGUGUUAUUUUGCUAAUUCCAGCUUCUUUUCUACUCAGGGGGGUUCCAACUCUUUUAAGGUCUCAUCUUCAGCACUUCUAAACUGUGGGAAACUAUGUGAAAACAAAUGGAGUGGCCAAACACACUAUUCAGCACUGUGCUUCUGGACAGCUGCAAGUCCAUAAGUGUUCCGGUGAGUCUUCAGGUUGUACGGGAACAGAGGCUGACUCAAGGUGGUUCAAUGAAAGUCUAGAUGGGAGUGCUUAUGGUGUUCCGUAAUAAAGUACUCAUGGAACAAUAAUAGAAAUGGAUUCUUAGAGAAGCCCAAGAGAAGGAACUAUGAUUGCCUCAUUUCCCUGACAUUUCUACGUUUGGUGGCGUAAUCUAAUCGACCCAACCCCCCUUGGGGUGCCAGGCCAUGUCAUAAGUCACUGGACAGCCCAUAAACAGGUUUCUGGGAGCAUGUCCCCAUCUUGAUCCAAUCACCUGUGGCCAGUACAUUUUACAAACCACGGUGGUUAGGGCUGCUUGUUCAACAGAUAUUAGGGGUGAAGUUGUACAUGCAUGCAGGGGAUGCUGAGAUGGUAGGCACCGUGAAUAACAUGUUCCAGGGUGGGCUCUGCCUCUUGUCUGCUCUAUGACAUACCCCUGCUUCCUUGUCCUGACCUCUCAUUUGCUAAAGUCUGAUUUCUAGCUUUGAAGUCUCUGCUCAAUCUCUCCAGCCUUCUGCUCAUGUCUUCACCUCCUACCUUGCAGCCUGUCUUUUGACUUGAUGUUGCUUGACUGCAAUUCCUGUGACUUGGCCUUGGGGUCCACUCCCAUGAAAUGCUUCUCUGGCAGCCUUGGCAGGUGUGUCCCAGUGUUCCUGAGUUCCAGUGUUCCUGGCUGUGUCCUUGCACAAGAGCAGGCUGCUUGAGAUUAGACAUGCUCCUCCCUCCUAUCAGUCCAUCUUGGCUCUGACACUGACUCUCCUCGGCCUCCUUUUCUUUGUCUGCUGGAGCAAGCAAAGUUUCCCAGAAGGUUUAAAUUUACAUUCUUGGUCAAGAUCUCACACCAUCAAGACACUGAAGCAGAUAGAGUGACUUCCUUCUCUUCUAAGCUGUGUACAUGCCUCCAUGCCCCUACUAGUUUGUAUAAUUCUAGUGUCUAUAAUUUCUUCCAUUCUUUCCUGAAACUUUGUCCUUUCUGUUAAAGUAGGUUUUUAGGGAUAUUUUUCAGGUUGGUUCAUCCCUCUGAAUGUCUUGGGUUUGUCUGAUUGAAGCCAGAUGGACACAGCGAGUGUUUCCUUUCUGAGUGGUGGGAGGUGGCUCUUGCAUCACCUUUGGGUCCUUUAGAGCUUUAGAGUAAAUGCUCAAAGACUGCCCACAGCUGGACUUGCUGGCUGUGAAUUAGAUCUGGGAGGAGAGGACUUAGCAGGAAAAGCUUCUGUAUCUAAUGCUAAAAUCAGAGAUGAAGGCUGAACAGAAGUGGGACAUCCAAGAGUCAGGGGCGGGAUGUAGGAGGUGCACGGGAUGACAGAGGUGGGGCUCUGAUCUGAGAAGGGCAGUGUCAAUGUGCACAGCAGAGCAUUGGGGAGGGGAUGUGUUGUUCCAUACAAGCUGAUGGAAGUUGUUAGAAGAAUAGGAACAAGGCUUGGAUGGUGGCAAAAGACCUACCUGCACCAAUGUGAAAAAAGGGGCCCUUUCAAGGCUGAGCCAGGUUGGAAGAGGGCAGAGCUGCUUCUAGGACACCAGAGAGUGCAGCAAGUAUGCAGAGAAAACCCGGGAACCCAGAGACCUGGGCGAGAGGAGGCAGAUGGGUGGGCCAAAGUUCUAGUAGUUGGGAAAGGUGAUAGAAGGCACUGCAUUAAUGCUGGGUCCUCUGCCCUUGUACUAAGAGCAGCACAUGGCUGCCUCCGAAUCCUGCCCAUGGAGUAACAUUUGCUUCCGUAUGCCACAAAGAUGAGAUGGGGCCGUGAUGUGCAUGUUAUAGGAGGGCAGAGCAUCCUGUGUGUUCUGUGAGAAGAGCUGGGCCACGUGUCUCCGGGUCAAAGCCCGCAUACCGGUUAUCCCCUCUCUCUCAUAUCUUCAACCUUUCCUUUCCUAUUGGGAAGGAUUUCCAUAUUUCCAAGAGCCUGCUCAAGUGGGGUCAGCAUGUCUCUGGUCACCACCCUCGCCCCUGUGGAAGGCUGGCAACUCUCACAUCUAUACAAAAUUUGAAACCACCAAUUAUAUGAUUGACACUAUUACACUGGAAAAAUUUCCUGUCAGACUCCUCCACCAGACUCUUUACAGGCAGGUGCUUCAUCUUCAUCUCUCUGUCCACAGCACUUGGUGUAGUAUUCACAACCAGGCAGGAAUGAAGGAGUCCGUGUGGAGUCAAGGACCUCAGGGAACCCCUUCAUAGCAGUGACACACACCUCCAACAAGAAUUGCCUCUUCCUUCCUUCUGUGGCUUUGCAUAGCAUUUUUCUUUAAUUAUGAACACAAUUGGUCUCUCUAUGCUGUUUAGGCUAAGCACAGCACAGCUUCAAACUGGAAAGUUAAAUAUUUGUGGUGAAAAUAACUUAUUUGUGCCCAUGCAAAUGUGGCAACACAAACUCAGGCAUGUAGUGUUCUAUGCAGAGAAGCUAAAGCCGAGGAAUGACAUUAAUUUCCGGUGAAAAUAUGUGAUGACAAUCUUAGAAUUCUGGCUUUUCAGAAAAAAAAAUCACUCUAGAGGGUCCUAAAAAUAUGUGCAGUUGGUGACAAGUCCAUAUUCCUUCUUAUCACUCCCACACUGGAUCAAAAUACAGCGGUCGUUUUCAAAGUGCAUAUCACACAGUGUUUUUUGAAUCCAUAAUGGGCAGUGGCCCAUUAUGGGUUUGUGAAAUUAAUUUAAUGAUUGUGACCAGUAGUCUAUUUUUAAUGAAAAAAAUAAAAAAG